CCUGAAACUUGCUGUGUAGACUAGGCUGGGCUUGGGCUCCCGAAUAUCGGCUUGCCUCUCCCGUUCAAGCACUGGGAUGAAAGACAUGUUCCACCAUAUAAGCCAACACUUGGAUUCUCCGGGUUGUCAUCUCCCUUGAGAGGAACUGUGCCUGCUUUGUUUAUAUUAUAUCCCGGAUGCCUCGUAUCAGCGCUCUAAUUACUUGUAUGUACAGUGAACCUGCCACCCACUAGUUAUAUGACCCUGGGCCAGUCACUGCCUCUCUGCGUUAAUAUUUACCAAGCCCUCACGAUAUUUUAGUAACAUUUAUUCCGUGAGCCUUGCUGUGCUGGCUGAACCCCACAACAACCCUAUGAGAUGGUUACUAUUUUUAUUUCUAUCAGUGAGUAAAAUCAGAUCCCAAGAGCAGAGGUGACACGCUUAAGGUGGCUGGUAGCAGGUGGGAGUAAGUCAUUGACCUAGAAGCAAAUUAAUUGCUGGUCCACUCUGUCCCCUCCUUCUGCUGCGGUGUGGCCAUCUCUGUCCUCUGCCCUAAACUCCUCAUAACUUCUUGCCAAUAAAACACGAUUAAUCACA